rnacentral:rRNA from 1 species
UGGGGAAUUUUGGACAAUGGGCGAAAGCCUGAUCCAGCAAUGCCGCGUGUGUGAAGAAGGCCUUCGGGUUGUAAAGCACUUUUGUCCGGAAAGAAAUCCUUGGCUCUAAUACAGUCGGGGGAUGACGGUACCGGAAGAAUAAGCACCGGCUAACUACGUGCCAGCAGCCGCGGUAAUACGUAGGGUGCAAGCGUUAAUCGGAAUUACUGGGCGUAAAGCGUGCGCAGGCGGUCUGCUAAGACCGAUGUGAAAUCCCCGGGCUCAACCUGGGAACUGCAUUGGUGACUGGCAGGCUAGAGUAUGGCAGAGGGGGGUAGAAUUCCACGUGUAGCAGUGAAAUGCGUAGAGAUGUGGAGGAAUACCGAUGGCGAAGGCAGCCCCCUGGGCCAAGUACUGACGCUCAUGCACGAAAGCGUGGGGAGCAAACAGGAUUAGAUACCCUGGUAGUCCACGCCCUAAACGAUGUCAACUAGUUGUUGGGGAUUCAUUUCCUUAGUAACGUAGCUAACGCGUGAAGUUGACCGCCUGGGGAGUACGGUCGCAAGAUUAAAACUCAAAU